rfam:Trachymyrmex septentrionalis contig29741, whole genome shotgun sequence.
ACCUCAGUGGUCGAGUUGGCUAAGAUAUUCGCCCUGGAAAGUUGAGAAGUCCCAGGUUCGAACCCUGGCUGAGGUA